GGGUAUUUAGCGCAGUGGUAGCGCGCCUCAUUUGCAUACCCCCAUCGGAGAAGCCUUGAGGAGGUCGCAGGAUCAAUCCCUGCAAUAUCCA